rnacentral:rRNA from 1 species
UACACAUGCAGUCGAGGGGUAACAGGAGGUGCUUGCGCCUUGCUGACGACCGGCGCACGGGUGCGUAACGCGUAUACAAUCUGCCUUGUACUGGGGGAUAGCCUUUGGAAACGAAGAUUAACACCCCAUAACAUCUUAGUAUCGCAUGGUACAAAGAUUAAAGGUUACGGUACAAGAUGAGUAUGCGUCCUAUUAGCUAGAUGGUGUGGUAACGGCACACCAUGGCAACGAUAGGUAGGGGCCCUGAGAGGGGGAUCCCCCACACGGUACUGAGACACGGACCAGACUCCUACGGGAGGCAGCAGUGAGGAAUAUUGGACAUUGGGCGGAAGCCUGAUCCAGCCAUGCCGCGUGCAGGAAGACUGCCCUAUGGGUUGUAAACUGCUUUUGUACGGGAAAAACACUCCUUCGUGAAGGAGCUUGACGGUACCGUAAGAAUAAGCAUCGGCUAACUCCGUGCCAGCAGCCGCGGUAAUACGGAGGAUGCAAGCGUUAUCCGGAAUCAUUGGGUUUAAGGGUCCGUAGGUGGACUGGUCAGUCAGAGGUGAAAUCCUGCAGCUUAACUGUAGAACUGCCUUUGAUACUGCUAGUCUUGAGUCAUUAUGAAGUGGUUAGAAAUAUGUAGUGUAGCGGUGAAAUGCAAGAUAUUACAUAGAUACCAAUUGCGACGCAGAUCACUAAUAUGUACUGACACUGAUGGACGAAGCGUGGGGAGCGACGGGAUAGAUACCCCGGUAGUCACGCGUAACGAUGAUACUAGCUGUCGCUCCGCUGAUGCUAGCGACGGGAUAAGUAUCCACCUGGGAGUACGUCGAGAAUGGACUCAAUAUGACGGGUCGC